rnacentral:misc_RNA from 1 species
AAGUCGUAACAAGGUCUCCGUUGGUGAACCAGCGGAGGGAUCAUUACUGAGUCACGUGCUCAAACAACCCUUCUGUGGACCUGAAAUAAAACCGUUGCCUCGGCGGGCGGUCCCCCCAACCAAACCCCACGUGGUGGGUUAGGGGACCAGACAGUCCGGCACGCUUAAGGCGUCCGGCGCCAGCCGCUGGCCCCAAACAAUUAAACUCUAGUAACCUUUACCUUCUGAGUUUUAAUAUUUAAAAAUAAGUCAAAACUUUCAACAACGGAUCUCUUGGCUCUG